rnacentral:lncRNA from 1 species
GUGGAAGUUAACAGGUGUUGUCAUUUCAAAGUGUAAGUAAAUUGAACAGAAAUGUGCGAAAGUCAGAAAUGAUCUGUGAAUCAAUAAGUGAAUCUGUGAAUGUUUAAUUUAAUGAAAUUUAAAUUACGUGUAAUAUAUUCGAGAAGUGUUUUAAUAAUAUUGUAUUAUAGUAAAAUGAGAAAUGUAAUAUCCGUAUCGUAAUAAUCUUUUCUCAAUAUUUUCAUCACAAAAGUCCCGUUUAUGUUUUGUGGGCUUUGUGUGAAGUGGUGUUAUUGAAAAAUAUACAUAAGUAUGUGCUUAAAUGGUGAAAAAAGUAUGUGUAAAAAAGUGUAAUGUGUAGCGUGGUGUUUUUGAAAAAUAUAGAUGUGUGUUUAAGUGGUGAAAAAAAGUGUGUAUAAAAAAGUGCAAGGGAUUUCAAUGGCUUUGUUAAAUUUCCUGUAUUUGGUAGAAGAAAAUAAAAUUUUGUUUGGUUGCAGCUGGAAUGUCAAAAGUGGAUGAGAAGAAUAUAUAAGUAAUAUAAGGAUGGAUACAUCGAAUCGCUGUUUGGGUACAAAGAGACUGGAAGCGGAAGUGCCAGGAAACGCGCUACAUGGACACUUGAGCUGCCACAAUCACAGGCCCGAAAGUGGUUUUCUAUGGGAAAGGUUCACUAAUUAACAAAACAGCUCGAAAACAACACCGCGCUUUAGGUGCUCUUAUACGAGUAUGUCUGCAUGUAAAUAUGACAGGCCGAAAUGUAUACAUAUAGGAUAUACAUAUGUACAUAUGUACACUACAUCCCUUAUAUCUACCAAGCAGAAGAAACAUAAAACAAAACUUACUGUAUUUAUAACAUUUGAAUUUAUUUGAAUUAAAAUUUCAACUUAUAAUGCAAAAAUAAAUAAAUAAAUAUGUAGACGAU